GGCUUAUUUUGCGAUGGCGGAGCUCGACCGCCCCGGGAAAGGGUGAUGGCGUUCAUUGACGCCCAUCGCGAGGAACUGGGGGUCGAGCCGAUCUGCCGCGAGCUGGCGAUCGCCCCA
rfam:Aurantimonas sp. 22II-16-19i contig19, whole genome shotgun sequence.